rnacentral:misc_RNA from 1 species
CAACCAUCAAGCCCCCGGGCUUGUGUUGGGGACCUGCGGCUGCCCGCAGGCCCUGAAAACCAGUGGCGGGCUCGCUAGUCACACCGAGCGUAGUAGCAUACAUCUCGCUCAGGGCGUGCUGCGGGUUCCGGCCGUUAAACAGCCUCUGUGCUACACCCAA